UCAAAAGUAAUCCUUAUUUAUUCACAUUUAAAAAAAUUUAUCUGAUAUUAUUUUGUAGCUUCAAGAUAGGAAAGAUGUAAUUGCUUAUUUUUAGAAUGACAUUGCAGGGUAGGUGAGAGAGGGUAGGGUUCUGGCCAGUUUGAGCAUAAAACGUGUAGAAUAUUUGGGCCGGAUACAGCCGGUUUAAACACUAAAGCGUUAAAAAAGACUUUACAUCACUAAAAGUGAAAUAAAUUGCCUAAAAAAUUUAUAAUCACAUUAGCAAUAAUUCAUCUCAGAUAUUUAUGCAUUUAAUAUAAUAGUUUUCAAUAUUACCAACCAGAACACUAAAAUGUUACACAAAGUUGUUUCUGCAUUGAUAAACAUGUCACACUAAAUUCUACCACCAGCAGGGUUUUGCAGUUCUACUCAGACUUAACAUAUCCCCGUGGUAAAUUGCAUGUAAUUAGCAAAAUGAGUAGUUAAGGUCACAAUUUUCUGUCCUAACCAAUGGAAUUGCAAUAAUCUUGUCAAACAAGGCACAUUACUCUGUUUGAUAAAACUGCAAUUGACUUAGUAAUUGAAUGGUGAAUAUUUCUAUAUUGACCAUUCUUCAUGUUUUAACAGUGAAGCAGAAGACUGUUUGUAUAAAUACCAGAUUUAUAAAGAUGGAGAAGUUGCAGAAUAUACCAAAAUAAUGAAAAUAAUAAUGAGACAAUUUAUAUACAAUGCUUACAGCUGGUCAAUCAGGAAAUAAUGUUCUGGUAAAUGUAACCAGUUUACCCCAAAGCGAUCUUCAAAUGGAAAGCUCAAAAAAUAAAUUUAAAAAAGAUUGCUGUUCAAAUAAAGUAAUUAAAAAAAAAUAAGGUGGUGUAAUUUCAGAUUUCAACAACCAUGAUGAAGUUAACAGAAACAGCAGAACACUAGAAUAGAUGUUGUACUGUAGCUGGUUGACUAUAUAGCUUUUCAGAAUUUUAACCUUCACAGCAGUGUACUUUACACCUCGUUGUGUGCGGGGUAAAAUGGAAAUACUGUAGGUACAGUUGGUAAGGAAUUCCAUUCAGCAAUCAUUAUGGUUCCAGGUCUGAUCCCACUGUGCAGGAUCUUGACUAAUUGUUUCCUACUGCAACUUCAGAUUGAUUCGUGCUUUCUAAGUAGUAUUUGGAAGAGAGAAACUAUGCAAAAGCCUACUGUACGUGUGAUUAUACACACAAACAAACAGAUUUUGCAUGGGUGUUUACUUGUUGAAGAAAUAAAUCUUACUAUCAGUCAAUUCUAAAAGAGAAAAAUGGUUAACAGAUCAUUAGACUGUGUAACCACUUUGAAGAAUUUUAGUCAAACCCCGAUGAGCAAUCUGGAAGACUAGCCACAAGCAUCACCCUGGAAAUGUGGAAAAAAUUCAUCAGCUUGUGCACGAGGAUCAUCAGAAGACAAUCAACAACAUUGCUGACGUUGUUGGUCUGUCAUAUGGGACCAACAAUUGGCUUCUUCAUGAUGACAAUGCACCCUGUCACCAAGCUCUCCUCAGUCGUGAGUUUCUCACCAAAAAUGACAUGGUAUCAGUUCCACACCUGCCCUAUUUGCCAGAUUUAGCACCUAUAGACUUCCAGCUCUUCCCAAAGAUGAAAAUGCAGCUCAAAGGUUGCUGUUUUAACACCAUUGUCAAGAUCAAGAGCAAAUUGCAGAAGGUCCUCAACUCGCAUAUGAAAAACAACUUCCAGAUCGGAUUCCAAAAGUGGCAGGAAUGCUGGGAUUGGUGUACUGCUGCACAAGGUGACUAUUUCGAAGGAGAUGAGAUUAAAACUUAGAGAUGAAGAAAGAACAGAAGAAAGAGAAAGAGAAAAAGAGAAGGGAGAGAGAGAAUGAUAGAACCAAUGAACGUUAGUAUAUCUCCCAAUGAAUUACAUUGAGGCUAACUUUUCCAAAUAAAUCCCUUAACACUUUAACAUUUAAAUCAACCAUAUCCGGCCAAAAUAUUCUACCUGUCUUAUGUUCAAACUGGCCUGAUCUGGCCUCUCACACCAAUCCUACAUGAUUAUUCUAAAAAUAAACAAUCACAACAAAAUC